rnacentral:rRNA from 1 species
GUCACACUAUCAUUAACUGAAUCCAUAGGUUAAUGAGGCGAACCGGGGGAACUGAAACAUCUAAGUACCCCGAGGAAAAGAAAUCAACCGAGAUUCCCCCAGUAGCGGCGAGCGAACGGGGAGCAGCCCAGAGCCUGAAUCAGUGUGUGUGUUAGUGGAAGCGUCUGGAAAGGCGUGCGAUACAGGGUGACAGCCCCGUACACAAAAAUGCACAUACUGUGAGCUCGAUGAGUAGGGCGGGACACGUGGUAUCCUGUCUGAAUAUGGGGGGACCAUCCUCCAAGGCUAAAUACUCCUGACUGACCGAUAGUGAACCAGUACCGUGAGGGAAAGGCGAAAAGAACCCCGGCGAGGGGAGUGAAAAAGAACCUGAAACCGUGUACGUACAAGCAGUGGGAGCACGCUUAGGCGUGUGACUGCGUACCUUUUGUAUAAUGGGUCAGCGACUUAUAUUCUGUAGCAAGGUUAACCGAAUAGGGGAGCCGAAGGGAAACCGAGUCUUAACUGGGCGUUAAGUUGCAGGGUAUAGACCCGAAACCCGGUGAUCUAGCCAUGGGCAGGUUGAAGGUUGGGUAACACUAACUGGAGGACCGAACCGACUAAUGUUGAAAAAUUAGCGGAUGACUUGUGGCUGGGGGUGAAAGGCCAAUCAAACCGGGAGAUAGCUGGUUCUCCCCGAAAGCUAUUUAGGUAGCGCCUCGUGAAUUCAUCUCCGGGGGUAGAGCACUGUUUCGGCAAGGGGGUCAUCCCGACUUACCAACCCGAUGCAAACUGCGAAUACCGGAGAAUGUUAUCACGGGAGACACACGGCGGGUGCUAACGUCCGUCGUGAAGAGGGAAACAACCCAGACCGCCAGCUAAGGUCCCAAAGUCAUGGUUAAGUGGGAAACGAUGUGGGAAGGCCCAGACAGCCAGGAUGUUGGCUUAGAAGCAGCCAUCAUUUAAAGAAAGCGUAAUAGCUCACUGGUCGAGUCGGCCUGCGCGGAAGAUGUAACGGGGCUAAACCAUGCACCGAAGCUGCGGCAGCGACGCUUAUGCGUUGUUGGGUAGGGGAGCGUUCUGUAAGCCUGUGAAGGUGUGCUGUGAGGUAUGCUGGAGGUAUCAGAAGUGCGAAUGCUGACAUAAGUAACGAUAAAGCGGGUGAAAAGCCCGCUCGCCGGAAGACCAAGGGUUCCUGUCCAACGUUAAUCGGGGCAGGGUGAGUCGACCCCUAAGGCGAGGCCGAAAGGCGUAGUCGAUGGGAAACAGGUUAAUAUUCCUGUACUUGGUGUUACUGCGAAGGGGGGACGGAGAAGGCUAUGUUGGCCGGGCGACGGUUGUCCCGGUUUAAGCGUGUAGGCUGGUUUUCCAGGCAAAUCCGGAAAAUCAAGGCCGAGGCGUGAUGACGAGGCACUACGGUGCUGAAGCAACAAAUGCCCUGCUUCCAGGAAAAGCCUCUAAGCAUCAGGUAACAUCAAAUCGUACCCCAAACCGACACAGGUGGUCAGGUAGAGAAUACCAAGGCGCUUGAGAGAACUCGGGUGAAGGAACUAGGCAAAAUGGUGCCGUAACUUCGGGAGAAGGCACGCUGAUACGUAGGUGAAGCGACUUGCUCGUGGAGCUGAAAUCAGUCGAAGAUACCAGCUGGCUGCAACUGUUUAUUAAAAACACAGCACUGUGCAAACACGAAAGUGGACGUAUACGGUGUGACGCCUGCCCGGUGCCGGAAGGUUAAUUGAUGGGGUUAGCGCAAGCGAAGCUCUUGAUCGAAGCCCCGGUAAACGGCGGCCGUAACUAUAACGGUCCUAAGGUAGCGAAAUUCCUUGUCGGGUAAGUUCCGACCUGCACGAAUGGCGUAAUGAUGGCCAGGCUGUCUCCACCCGAGACUCAGUGAAAUUGAACUCGCUGUGAAGAUGCAGUGUACCCGCGGCAAGACGGAAAGACCCCGUGAACCUUUACUAUAGCUUGACACUGAACAUUGAGCCUUGAUGUGUAGGAUAGGUGGGAGGCUUUGAAGUGUGGACGCCAGUCUGCAUGGAGCCGACCUUGAAAUACCACCCUUUAAUGUUUGAUGUUCUAACGUGGACCCGUGAUCCGGGUUGCGGACAGUGUCUGGUGGGUAGUUUGACUGGGGCGGUCUCCUCCUAAAGAGUAACGGAGGAGCACGAAGGUUGGCUAAUCCUGGUCGGACAUCAGGAGGUUAGUGCAAUGGCAUAAGCCAGCUUGACUGCGAGCGUGACGGCGCGAGCAGGUGCGAAAGCAGGUCAUAGUGAUCCGGUGGUUCUGAAUGGAAGGGCCAUCGCUCAACGGAUAAAAGGUACUCCGGGGAUAACAGGCUGAUACCGCCCAAGAGUUCAUAUCGACGGCGGUGUUUGGCACCUCGAUGUCGGCUCAUCACAUCCUGGGGCUGAAGUAGGUCCCAAGGGUAUGGCUGUUCGCCAUUUAAAGUGGUACGCGAGCUGGGUUUAGAACGUCGUGAGACAGUUCGGUCCCUAUCUGCCGUGGGCGCUGGAGAACUGAGGGGGGCUGCUCCUAGUACGAGAGGACCGGAGUGGACGCAUCACUGGUGUUCGGGUUGUCAUGCCAAUGGCACUGCCCGGUAGCUAAAUGCGGAAGAGAUAAGUGCUGAAAGCAUCUAAGCACGAAACUUGCCCCGAGAUGAGUUCUCCCUGACCCUUUAAGGGUCCUGAAGGAACGUUGAAGACGACGACGUUGAUAGGCCGGGUGUGUAAGCGCAGCGAUGCGUUGAGCUAACCGGUACUAAUGAACCGUGAGGCUUAACCUUACAACGCCGAAG